GCGGGCGUGGUGGAACCGGUAGACACGCCGGCCUUAGGAGCCGGUGGCGCAAGCCGUGGGGGUUCGAGUCCCUCCGCCCGCA
rnacentral:tRNA from 1 species